rnacentral:rRNA from 1 species
ACCGUGCAAAGGUAGCAUAAUCAUUUGCCUUAUAAUUGAAGGCUAGUAUGAAUGGUUUGACGAGAAUUAAGCUGUCUCUUUUCAACUAAAUAUAACUUUAUUAAGAGGUGAAGAAGCCUCUAUUUCAUUGAAAGACAAGAAGACCCUAUCGAGCUUUAAAAAAUUUAGUAGAUUUACCAUAUAUUAAUAAAAAAGUAAAGCAACUAAAGACUUUGGUUGGGGCGACUGAGGAACAAAUAAAGCUUCCUUUAUCUUAAUUAAAACCUACAAGUGUUGAUCCAAUUUAUUUGAUUAAAGAAAUUAGUUACCGUAGGGAUAACAGCAUAAUCUCCUUUGAGAGUUCUCAUCGAAAAGGGGGUUUGUGACCUCGAUGUUGGACCAGAAUAUCCAGAAGAUGCAGCCGUCUUCAAUGGUUGGUCUGUUCGACCAUUAAA